GUAUCUGUUGUUUUUCAAAUUCUUUUCCCAUUUAAGUUAUUACAGAAUGCUGAGGAGAGAGGUAAGUUUUUAAUCCAGAGCUGGUCUGGUUUCUUCCUUGCUUUUACAGACCUCCCUCACUGGCAGUACAUUUUGAUAUUAGGCACAGCAUAAUCUUUCAUCUCUAGAAAUUUGGCCGGUUUUACCAUUUGCAAAUCACUCUUAUCAAUUACAAAUUAUUUUUGUUGCUUAAAACAAUGAAGGAAGCAACGGAUUUGUGUACUGGAGCAAAGGUGCAUAUACAUUACAGGAAGGAGUGAGUCUGGCUUCAGUCCCCACUGCCCUGCCCCUUGGACUUCCGUUCAGUCCUUAGAUCAGCUGACUGCUCAAACUCAUUCUUAAUAAGUUCCCUGUGGAUAACUCCUUUCACUUUGGAUGUCCUCCUUAACCUUCACUCAAGGAAAAGGUUCAAUCACUCAAUCCCUUCACGCUUUUUACUUCCGCUCUCUUGCAGAUAACCUGGACCUGGACAGCAGGAGGCUAUCCCAGUUCACGGAAUGGGGGCUGGCAGUUUUGGAUGCUAGCCUGUGGGAAGUGACCAGCAGAAAGGCAGGGUGAGGCCAUUCUAGGCAGAGGGAGCACGCUGGGCUGACACAGGGCCCUCCAAUAAAUGUGGAAGACAGAAUGGACAGGUGAGAACCUUGGGACAAAAAUCAUUCAUAAAGCUGUUGCAGUGAUCCAGAGCCCUGAACAGAGUUGGUAGUUUGAUCCUAAUCAUACUGAUGAGGAACUUCUAAAAAGAUUCUCAGAAUCACAUGAAAGAAAUCAUAGGUUCUCUCUGACAGAGGCACAGGCACCCCACAUUUUAUGUUCCAUUUCCAGGAUUUCACAAACUUGAAGCCCAUGCUCCAUGGCCCAGAGAGAGAAGGCAGCCGAAGACGAAACCCUGGAGAAGAGAGUAUUGUGGAUAACUGGAAUCGGUAUUGAGAUGAAAAGUUAGAAGAACCUGGGCAGGGAGAUUGCCAAAGAAUUAAAAAGUAUGAGUGUGGCUAAGUGAUGGCCUUGCCUGCAUUUUCGAGGAAGAACUGGAAGCUGCCAUUCUGCACAGGGAAAAUUAUGCCACUACAGGAGAUUUCCGAAUGACAAGAGGUGAUUAACGGAGGCUGCGGAUCAUCAACCCCAGGUGUACGAUACGGGGGUAGGACCAGGACAGCAAACUCAAAUGGCAGUGGAGACAGGCAGGUGCUGUAAGGUAACAAACAGGGCAGGCCGGGUGAACCGGGCCUGCUGGAGAUGUGCUAGCCAUUCGGCUGGACUGGAAAUGGGAGCUCAGAGUUAACCUGAUCUGUCCGUUUUUCCAGAGAAGCUAGAUGAGAGGUGAUUUUUGAAUUUUCUUUCAAUUUUUAGAUGGCAACCAUACAUCUUUUUUUCUUAAAAACGUAUGGGGGUCAGGGGGCCGAUGACAGUUGCAGCCCAUCGGUGACCAGUUUGCAGCUUGGUAGCUUCAGGAAGCCUCCUUUGGCGUCCUGACUUGCUUUGGGUUUCUGAACCUUUUGUAUCCGCAAUUGUGAGAAAUACAGGCCUGGACCUAAAACUUCCUCGACGAGCCUUUAAUCAAGAUUUAAAAUACUGCCACUGGUCAAAAAGCAGAGAACCAAGGUUUGAAAUUAGCAUUCUACGUAGUCUUACUACGUAACAAACGUUAAGUGAAAAACAUCAAUGAGGUGGUCAAAUACAAAAAAAUUCUCCGUUUUUCCCAUAAAACAUGGCUUAGAUGGCCCAAUUUAUUAAUUUUAUGUGACAGCUUUCUACCAACACUCAUGGUAAUUAAUGUGCAUAUGUUAUAGUUUGUAAUGUUUUCAUAUAAAUGAACCUCAUAAUAAGCCUGGUUUUCUCCUCCAUUUUACAGCUGAGGAAAUAGGCUGAAGGAAGUAAUUUCUCCCAGCAUCAGACAGCCAGCAUGAGGAGAGCUGGGAUCAGAAUUUGGUUUUCCAGCUGCAGUGUCCUGUGCUCAUUUCUCCUAUACCAUAUGGCCACAUUAAAAAGAAAUGUGUUAGGUUCCAAUUUUAUUUUCACUUCCAAACUGAUACUCUGAAGCUAACACAGAGACUCUGAUUUUGUAUUAAAAAAUACAUAUGCAUAGGACUAAAUAUAGAGAAUAUUCAUCAAAAUAUUAAUAGGUGUUAUUACCUCUGCAGGGUAGAAUGACAAGGCAAGUCGACUUUAGUAUCCUGAAUUUCUUUUGCAAUGAGCAUAUUCUUUUUCAGGAAAAGAAAGGAAAAACUGGACUCCUUCACCUCAGAACUGUAUUGUUUACUCAUCAUGAGGCAGUUUACUCACCUGGACCUUUAUCUGCAGUCUUAAGAGUUUUCAGCUUCCCCAUCUAGCACUGGGAGUGAAGAACAUUUCUUGUUUCUUUUAGUAUCUCUUACCUGUUAUCCUCAUCUAAUUUUAGGCUGGUGGGGCUAAAAUGGUAAAACAAACAAAAAAGCCGGGAAGGGGGGAAUGGAGAGUGUUCUGUGGCUUUUUGCUCUCUUUUAGGCCAACACUCAAUCUAAGCCUCGACUGAAAAGCCGUGGUUGCUGUGUGUGAUCACAUCAGUCCAGGUGGUUUUUAGAGGUGGGAGUUGAGGGAAGGAGUUAUUUUAAGAAACUGACAUUUUAAUCCUACUUCUUCCCCUCUAGCAUGAACUGCAAUGCGAUAACUGGCUGAAAACAGAGCCCUAAUUUUUAAAUGGGCACAGGGAACACACUCUACCAAAACUGCUCUUGUCAAGGUCACCAUUCAGCAAGCCUGGGAUCCUCUCUUUCAGCAAAUCCGGCUGCCUCUACAGUUUAUUCCACCACUCCCCAUCGUCCCUGCAGCUCAGGGCCAUGGUGACACUUAAAAGGUAACAUUUUGAUUGAUGCCCAGUAGUUGAGAGGAUGGUCGCCGGUGUACUGCAGGUGUCUUAUCUACCAGAAUUAACGUGACCCUACAAGUGCCUAUUCAUAUGAAGCGUAGGUGUCAAAGAAUGAAGCCAUCCACAGCUACACAAUUUACAUAGUUGCAUCUCCAGACUGCAGCUGCGAAACCCACUGGUACCUGUUCUUCUGGGACUGAAGUACACAGAGAAAACUACCCAACCAGAUAUAACCAGCCCUGUGAGUCCUACCCAGAUCCAAAGAACAGCAGGGGAAACCUCUAAAGAAGAAAUCUUGAUGUUAUGAUUUAGGAACAAGAUGUAGAUAACAGCACUAGACUUGAUGUACAAGCAAACUGACUCAAAGAUGCCCUCUGCUGAGGAAGAGAACGAGGAAAUUUCUGGCUCCAUAGUUUGGGUACACUUAAGAUCUGCGCAUUUUGUAAAGAUUACUGAAAACCCACCCACCCACCCAUAAACAAACAUUGAUAUGCAUGCUAAGGUGACUGGGGAUGAAAUGUACUGGUGUCUGACACUUCCUUUCAAGUGGUUAAAAAUAAGAUGGAAGGUGAUAAAACAAAUAUAACAAAAUGUUAAUAAAUUACAGAAUCAAGGCUCUAUGGGAAUUUACGGUGUAACUCUUUACAAUUUUCUGCAUGUUUGAAAUUUUUCAUAAUAAAAUAUUAGAAAAAAACCAGAAUGGCUAAAAAGAGUGUGGUCUUUUAAAAUGAAAUGCAGCUUCAUUAAAAACUGCUUUUUUCACUGUGAGCCACUGCAAACUACAUCUUCAAAGUUAAAAGGCCAAUGUUUGUUUGGGAACCACUUACAUAUCUAGACACCACCUGGACAGCUCACAUUCUGAACAUCUACUUCUCUCCAACUCUACUCCCACGACCCUGGGUCCAAGACACAGGAACAUCUCCUCCAUGAGCUACUGAACAGACCACCUGGUCUCCCCAUCCAGCAUGCACUAAGACGGAGCAUGGAACCGUGUUACCCACCAGAGGCUUAAAAUGCUCCAGUGGCUCCCCACAGCACCAGGAUUAAAACCCAAGUUCCCCACCAGGCCCUACACGGCCAUACACUGCCUGUCUCUCCCACGGCUACCCUCCUACCCCCACUACUAUGCUGCAGCUACGCAUCUUUCUGUGCCAUUGUAUUCUCUAUGUAGACUAACCUGAAAUGACUUACAUGUUUAGCUCUCUAUCUUACACUUCACACUAGGUCCUAAGAGUCACUACUGUAGUAGCAGUGUGGUUCACGAAGAUGUAACAGAGACGACUUCUGCUCCAGUUAUUAUUAAAAGUAGACUUCUGUUCCAUCUUUGCUACUACAGUAGAAACACAUCAUGAAAGCAGAGAUAACAGAUAUGAUUGUUUUGAUAUUGAAAGAAAAAUUCUUAGAUCUUUUUUUUAUAAUUGAGGGAAGCAAUGUAAAUGGAGAAAAUAUACAAGUUCACACAUGCAAAGAUAACUGUAAAAAAUAAAUUGACAUGAUGUUAUUUAA